rnacentral:lncRNA from 1 species
UGAAAUGUAAAUAAGACAUGAUAAAGUAAAUAGUAUGAUGGAGACUCUGUGGGCUGUGAUACGUAACAUGAAAUGCAUCUCACCAUAAAGUAUCCUCAGCAACAGCACAUACGCACUAAGAUAACCACCGAUUAAACCUGCCAAAUCCUGCCCAUUUAGUGCAAAAGUAUAGUGACGACCCGACAGGUUGUUUAGAGCUCCAGCGCGUCGUUCAGCAGUUUGAGGCCUUGAGCAACUUCACUUCAAGUAUUAUGGCUUGUACGUGUGGUCGGAAUUGAAUUCCAGGAAGUUCAAAGCUAAUCCGGGAAGAAAAAUCUAAUUUUGGAAGCUUUAAGUUGGAAAAAUUGAUUAAAGUUUGACUUUUGAGUAAACAACCUCGGAAUCAGGAUUUGAAAGUUCCAAUAGGUAUGUAUGAUAAUUUCGGACUUGGGUGUCUGUUCGGGUUGAGUAUUGAAUCGCCCGGGAGCACUUUGGCGCUUAUUAUGGAAAGUUGGCAUUUUUAAGGUUUAAGAAUUUCUUAAGUUCGGUUUGAGGUGGACCACGGUGCUAUCGAUGUCCGUUUGGGAUUUCGAGCCUUGAAUAGGUUUGUAUUGUGAUUUAUGAUUUGUGCGAAAAAUUUAGCGUCAAUUCGGAAUGUUUUGAUAUGAUUUGGAUGCGUUCGUCGAAGUUUGAAAGUUUAAAAAGUUAAAAGAAGGAUUUCGAUCGACGAAUUGUAGUUUCAAUGUUAUUUGGCAUGAUUUGAGGCGUCGACUAUGUUCGUAAUGUGUUUUGGGACGCGUUGGUAUAAUUGGUUAAGAUCCCGAAGGCCUCAGGUGGAUUUUGGAUAAUAAACAGAUCAAGUUUGGGCUUAAGGGAAUGCUGAAGCCACUACAAAAAAAGGCUCAUUUUAUGGUGAUUUGUAUUGCUGUCACUUAAUGAUACUCUUACACCUAUGGGUGAACACACUCGAUCUCCACAUCACUAUGCUGAAACAAUGAAACAAAAGUAGAUGAAAAACUUAUAAACAACUAGCAUUUUGACAGGCUAAAAGGACAAAUCUAGUUACAUAAAUAAAAGAAAGCUAAAAAUCUUCUUACAAAUAAAUCUGUCACUUGGUCUAAUAGCAUUGAACAAAAGUUACUGGAUAUUCUCACAUGAAUAAGAACUAAAGUACAAAGUUAUUUCCUCGUAUAUCAUCAUAAAACUUACCUCCAAAACAUUUCUACUUGGCAGCAUAAAAUCUAGCCAUAUAUUUAUGAAAAAAAUCACCUACAUAACUAUUAAAGUAUAAGUCAGCCUCUAUAAGCUUUCUAGCAUUAAACAAAUAAAGUAUGAGUUGUAAUCCAGCCCAAUGAUCCGCAGAAGUUAAACUUGCACCAGCUAAAAGCUAAUAACAACACUGGAAACUGAAGUAGAGGAAAUGAACUAUAAAAUAUAAACUAAUAAUUAGUUAAAUAAACCAAGCCAGCGCCCAUAAUCUUCUGGAGCUAAUUUCAAGCAAAAGAAGCAACAAGAAAAUGCCAAAACUUGAACCGAAAAAAUAAAAUUUAUAUACUAUCAGCUUACUUCAUCUCAUUUCUUAGGUAGUUAUUCAAAAUUUUUAAGGCAUAAAUUCUAGUAGUAUCAUAUCAAGUAAGAACUGCAAGAGAAUCACCUCUUACAAUAAGAAUGCCAAGGACCCUUAUUAUUUAUGUAUAUUAUUGUACUGAUAUUUCUAUAAACAAUAGUCCUAGGAAUAAGAAAAUACAUAACCAAUCAAUUUAAAACUAAAAGCAUCAAUUUAUGUAAACUGUGAGUUUAAAGUUGUAUCUCAAGUUUAUACCUACUUGAGCAAUAUAGCAGUUGUCAUUGAGCCAACCAUGUUUAUUGUUCUCAAUGCUACCACUUCUUUGCUUCAAUCCAACUGAUAUUCAAAGCUGCAAAUGUUCUUCAAUUGGUGUAGCUUCCAUUAAGAAGCAUGUUAUAUAAAUAUUAAGUUUCUCCGGAAAAAAUGCCUAGCCAAGAAACGAGGUAAGAAGCAUAACUUACUCCUCAAUGCUAUAAAAACAGCCCAUCAAUACUAAAACCUUUGCACUGGUAGAGGAUGUAUCCCUCGAUGGAUUUACAUCACCUUGACAUUAUAAUUAAAUUGAAUGUAAGGUACAAACGAAGAAAAUUGUUAACCGAUAAAAUAAGAAUCAUUUUAGUUGCUUGUAAUUAAAUACAUGCUUUCUUAUUAUUAAAUUCAACUAUAUAAAGCAAAACUGAAGAGCAGGGCAUACAACAUCAAAAACCUAGAACUAGCAAAAGUUGCAAAAAAAAAAAAAAAAAGAAGUUCCAUUUUUUACCUUGUGCAAAUGAAAAGUACUAAACUAGAACUCACAGGGUAAAAUACUAUAAACAUAUCCAUUACAUGAAUUGAUACAGAAUCACCAUGCUUCUUUGAGCCAAACAGGUCAUGUGUGAUAUGACAAAGUUACUUCUUAAUAUGAUCUGUAGCACUUACUCUGACUAGUCAUCGAAUAACUUUUAUAAUGACAAGACAUGUUUAGAUACGUUACAUAAGGCUCCAAAAAGACAAAGGCAGAACUGCUAGCCAAAGUUUAAUGUAAUACUUUACUUAAUGUAAGACGAUGAUAACUCGCCAAGCUUGUUUUCUGAAAUAAAAGAUAGUUGUGCACAAGGAUAGAAAGAAGUUGGUCUGUUACAGGAUAAGAGUGACAAGAGAUAUGUGUUGUAAUUUAUAAGAAAUUGUCGCCAUUAUCGGUCCAGUAAUCUUUGUUAAUAUUGGUCCAGCAAUCAAUUCAUAGUUAAAGUUGCUCAAAAGUACUAUUAAAACAACUUCUGAUAAACAAACUUCAAAUACAUUUGUAGAAGUAAACAAACCACAAGGGGUGCUUUACCAUGGCGAUUAGCUCAAAUCCUGGAUGAUCGGUUCAUUGCGUUAGAAUGCCAUUUGGUUCAGUGGGUAAAUGUCUACAACAAUCACCUAAAGUUCAUGUAAUUGUACUCAUAUUUCCAACCGUCCCUGAUGUACAAGGAUGCAGUAGUUGCAUACAUACAACAGAACUCAUUUGAUGUCCUUUCUAAUUAAAGACCAAAAUAUUCUCAAAAUUUACAAAACAAUUACUUAGAAUCUUCUUGCAGUGUAUAAAAUUAGCCAUCCAAAGAAUAUAAUCAUCAAACCCCAUAAAAGGGGAAAAAUAACAAGACAGACAAAAUAGAAAGAGUGCAUUGCGUUGUACCCGACAUCCUAAGCACACAAUCCAUCCAAUUACGUACAGACAACCCCCAUCAACCAUAAAAGACAAGAGAUCUGUCGAACACCACCUACUACAAAUAGACAACCUCUAACUAUAGACUCUUUUUCUCAAAAGCACAUUCAUUUCCCCGCAGAAAUGACUCUUAAAAGGGUAAGAUUUUCAAUUGGACCUCGAAAUAAAGGAAUAUAUAAAACAAUUGAAACAAUAUAUAACUCAAAUACUUGUAACUAUAUAGAUCCAAAAGCAUAUCGAAAACAAUUCUGGUUAGGAACCCUAUAUCGGAAAGUAAAAGACAAUAUAGAGCAUAUAGAAGUAAGAAAGAGGAUGAAAAAGUACCAACCGUUGUUCUUCGGAUUGCGCUCUACCAGCUCCGUAGAGAAGGUGAAGAGAGGAUCAAGCCCUGCUAAAAGAUUUGUGAGAGAGGGAACUAACUGUACAAUUUGAAACAAGGGGAAAAAGAGAGGGAAUUU